rnacentral:rRNA from 2 species
CCGUAAGGACUGGUGGAGCGCUUAGAAGUGAGAAUGCCGGUAUGAGUAGCGAAAGAUGAGUGAGAAUCUCAUCCACCGAAUGCCUAAGGUUUCCUGAGGAAGGCUCGUCCGCUCAGGGUUAGUCGGGACCUAAGCCGAGGCUGAAAAGCGUAGGCGAUGGACAACAGGUUGAUAUUCCUGUACCACCUUUAAAUCGUUUGAGCAAUGGGGGGACGCAGGAGGAUAGGGUAAGCGUGCUGUUGGAUUAGCACGUCCAAGCAGUUAGGCUGGUAAUGAGGCAAAUCCCAUUACCACAUAAGCGGAGCUGUGACGGCGAGGGAAAUAUAGUACCGAAGUUCCUGAUUCCACACUGCCAAGAAAAGCCUCUAGCGAGAUUUAGGGUGCCGUACCGCAACCCGACACAGGUAGGCGAGGAGAGAAU